ACUGGUGGCUUCUUAAGAAGAGGAAGAGCUAGCACGCUGAGCCCCCUCACCAUAUGAUGCCCUGUACCACCCCGAGACCGUAGAGAGUCCCCACCAGCAAGAAGGCUGGAGUAUAGUGGCAGGAUCAUAGAUCACCACAGCCUCAAACUCCUGGGCUCAAGCAAUCCUCCCACCUCCGCCUCCAUGUAGCUGGU
rnacentral:lncRNA from 1 species